rnacentral:rRNA from 1 species
GAUGAACGCUGGCGGCGUGCCUAAUACAUGCAAGUCGAGCGAACGGACGAGAAGCUUGCUUCUCUGAUGUUAGCGGCGGACGGGUGAGUAACACGUGGAUAACCUACCUAUAAGACUGGGAUAACUUCGGGAAACCGGAGCUAAUACCGGAUAAUAUUUUGAACCGCAUGGUUCAAAAGUAAAAGACGGUCUUGCUGUCACUUAUAGAUGGAUCCGCGCUGCAUUAGCUAGUUGGUAAGGUAACGGCUUACCAAGGCAACGAUGCAUAGCCGACCUGAGAGGGUGAUCGGCCACACUGGAACUGAGACACGGUCCAGACUCCUACGGGAGGCAGCAGUAGGGAAUCUUCCGCAAUGGGCGAAAGCCUGACGGAGCAACGCCGCGUGAGUGAUGAAGGUCUUCGGAUCGUAAAACUCUGUUAUUAGGGAAGAACAUAUGUGUAAGUAACUGUGCACAUCUUGACGGUACCUAAUCAGAAAGCCGCGGCUAACUACGUG